rnacentral:rRNA from 1 species
ACUCCUACGGGAGGCAGCAGUUAGAAUAUUCGGGCAAUGGGGAAACCCUGACCGAGCGACACUGCGUGAAGGAGGAAGGCCUUAGGGUUGAAACUUCUGAACGAGAGACGAUAAUACGGUUCUCGGUAAUAGCACCGGCUAACUCCGUGCCAGCAGCCGCGGUAAUACGGAGGUGCGAGCGUUAAUCGGAAUUACUGGGCGUAAAGCGCAUGCAGGUGGUUUGUUAAGUC